GCUCCAGUGGCGCAAUCGGUUAGCGCGCGGUACUUAUAGGGCAGUGCGAGCGGAGCGAUGCCGAGGUUGUGAGUUCGAUCCUCACCUGGAGCA
rfam:TPA: Bos taurus chromosome 18, whole genome shotgun sequence.